rnacentral:sRNA from 1 species
CUAUCGGGCCCAUACCCCGAAAAUGUUGGUUAUAUCCUUCCCGUACUACCA